GAAAUGCGAUAAGUAAUGUGAAUUGCAGAAUUCAGUGAAUCAUCGAAUCUUUGAACGCACCUUGCGCUCCUUGGUAUUCCGAGGAGCAUGCCUGUUUGAGUGUCAUGAAACCCUCAAGCUUUAAGCUUGUGUUGGGGACCUGCGGCUGCCCGCAGGCCCUGAAAAACAGUGGCGGGCUCGCUGUCACCCCGAGCGUAGUAGUAUUAUCUCGCUUAGGGCGUGCUGCGGGUUCCGGCCGUUAAACCCCCCCAUACCCCAAGGUUGACCUCGGAUCAGGUAGGAAUACCCGCUGAACUUAA
rnacentral:misc_RNA from 1 species